rnacentral:misc_RNA from 1 species
GUUUCGGCCUCCCAGUCUAGCGUGGCACAAGUGGGUGUGUCGACGGCGACUCGAACAAGACCAUGUCCACACAUGAGCAGUCACGAAUUGGUGUGUCCCGCAGGCGGCUUGCCUCUCACAAUCAACCACUGAAGAGGCCAUGCUUCUUAGUCCUGUGCUUAUUCGUAUCUUUAGGCCAUCCUUUUUAGUCAUGUACAUCGCGUGUGCCAUCUACCCAGCUCUACAGGAAAUCAACGUACCCCAUGUGCCAGUUCGCCUCACCACCUCGAGCGGGAGGCACAACCACAAUGUGGUUGUCGCGCACACCUUAACGAAUCAACCCUUGGACCCCGUCCUAGCUGGGCUCCAGAAGUAUCACAAGCUCUCACGAAUGCAGCAGGCUUCGGGGACUUCGGCCCUUGGCCUAGACCUUGGUAGGUCAUUAAGCCACUCUCGUCGAGAUAACGGUCGAUCCACCGAUAGCCUGAGGCGGUCGGGCGCCUUAACAACAUCAACAUCGCAAAGGACAUGCUACCUGGUUG